CUCGAUUUUUGCUGAUUUCAAUUUUAUCCUUUUGAUCAGGUAUUUCAAUUGAUAAAGCUUCUAUUGGUUUUUUCAUCUUUGCGACUAUCACAAAGCAUUGCUUAGCAAGCAUUUGAUCUCCCCACAUCUCUCUAACUCCAUUCUUGGUUGGGAACUAGACUAAUAAAUGAUAAGUGGAAGCUACAGCCUUGAGGGUAUUGAGCCCAAGUCGGCCAAGGAUAGCAUUGUAAGCUGACGAUAUUUUAAUAACUAGAAAAGUAAACCAUACAGUUGACUGAUAAGAUUCUUUCCCCGUAGUGACAGGCAGGAUGAUCUUUCCCUCCACGGCUACAGAAUCGUUGGAGAAUCCAACCAGAGGAGCGCCAACCUAUUUUAGCUGAUCUAGCGUAUUAAUUUUUUAAAAUGCAUCAUAGAACAAUUAUAUCAAUGAAACUUUCAUUAUCAACUAAUAUUCUUUUUACAUCAUAUUUUGCUAUUGUCAUAGAGAUGAUAAUAGUAUCAUCAUGAGGAGUUUGGACUCAUCUAACAUCAUCAUUGGAAAAUAAAAUCAUAUUAUCUGUAUGUUACCG
rnacentral:lncRNA from 1 species